CCUACGGGUGGCUGCAGUGGGGAAUAUUAGAAAUGGACGAAAGUCUGAUCUAGCGACACCGCGUGUGCGAUGAAGGCCUUCGGGUUGUAAAGCACUUUUUGGAAGGAAUAGGAAGGAAGGUACUUCCAGAAUAAGUCUCGGCUAACUACGUGCCAGCAGCCGCGGUAACACGUAGGAGGCAAACGUUAUCCGGAUUUACUGGGCGUAAAGCGCGUGUAGGUGGUUUUGUAAGUAGGGCGUGAAAGCUCCCGGCUCAACUGGGAGAGGCCGUUCUAAACUGCAGAACUAGAGGAUGGUAGAGGGAGGUGGAAUUCCAGGUGUAGCGGUGGAAUGCGCAGAUAUCUGGAGGAACACCAGUGGCGAAAGCGGCCUCCUGGACCAUUCCUGACACUCAGACGCGAAAGCUAGGGUAGCAAACGGGAUUAGAUACCCCGGUAGUC
rnacentral:rRNA from 1 species